rnacentral:RNase_P_RNA from 1 species
GAUACCGGACGGGCGAUCGCUGGCGUUGCCAGAGGAAAGUCCGAGCUGCAUAGAGCGAGGGUGCCCGGCGAAAGCCGGGGAGACGCGUUGUCGAUGCGCGUCGACAGUCCAGAUCGGCGUGGUUCGCCACGAGAGCAACAGAAACCAUUCCGGCGCCCCCGUGCGCCGGCUGAAAAGGGCAAUCCUCCCCGCAGCAAUCUCCGAUCGAACCGUUUGCAGGUUGCUCGCCAAGGUUCGAGGUUGAGAGCAGGCGCUUUGCGCCCAGCCCGCUCGCGGGCUGAGAGAGAUGAUCGUCAGAAACAGAACUCGGCUUACGGUCCGGUAUCUUCA